AACGAACGCUGGCGGCAUGCCUAACACAUGCAAGUCGAACGAGACCUUCGGGUCUAGUGGCGCACGUGUGCGUAACGCGUGGGAACCUGCCCUUAGGUUCGGAAUAACUCCCCGAAAGGGGUGCUAAUACCGGAUAAUGUCUCCGGACCAAAGAUUUAUCGCCAUUGGAUGGGCCCGCGUUGGAUUAGCUAGUUGGUAGGGUAAAAGCCUACCAAGGCGACGAUGCAUAGCUGGUCUGAGAGGAGGAUCAGCCACACUGGGGCUGAGACACGGCCCAGACUCCUACGGGAGGCAGCAGUGGGGAAUAUUGGACAAUGGGCGAAAGCCUGAUCCAGCAAUGCCGCGUGAGUGAUGAAGGCCUUAGGGUUGUAAAGCUCUUUUACCCGGGAUGAUAAUGACAGUACCGGGAGAAUAAGCUCCGGCUAACUCCGUG
rnacentral:rRNA from 1 species